rnacentral:rRNA from 1 species
UACGGAGGGUGCAAGCGUUAAUCGGAAUUACUGGGCGUAAAGCGUGCGCAGGCGGUUGUGCAAGACAGAUGUAAAAUCCCCGGGCUUAACCUGGGAAUUGCAUUUGUGACUGCACGGCUAGAGUGUGUCAGAGGGGGGUAGAAUUCCACGUGUAGCAGUGAAAUGCGUAGAUAUCGAGAGGAACACCAGUGGCGAAGGCGAGUCUCUGGACGACUCCUGACACUGAGGCACGAAAGCUAGGGGAGCAAACAGG